UACAGAGGUCUCAAGCGUUGUUCGGAUUCAUUGGGCGUAAAGGGUGCGUAGGCGGCGCGGUAAGUCGGGUGUGAAAUCUCGGAGCUUAACUCCGAAACUGCAUUCGAUACUGCCGUGCUUGAGGACUGGAGAGGAGACUGGAAUUUACGGUGUAGCGGUGAAAUGCGCAGAUAUCGGGAGGAACACCUAUGGCGAAGGCAGCUCGCUGGGACGUUACUGACGCUGAGACGCGAAAGCGUGGGUAGCAAACAGG
rnacentral:rRNA from 1 species